GGAGAUUUACUCAAGUUGGCCGAAGAGGCGCCCCUGCUAAGGGCGUAGGGCGGUUAACCGUCGCUAGGGUUCAAAGCCCUCAAUCUCC
rnacentral:tRNA from 1 species